CAGGUCACUCCUACGGGAGGCAGCAGUGGGGAAUUUUGGACAAUGGGCGCAAGCCUGAUCCAGCCAUUCCGCGUGAGUGAAGAAGGCCUUCGGGUUGUAAAGCUCUUUCGCAAGGGAAGAAAACUUAGCUAAUAACACUAGCUGAGGCUGACGGUACCUUGAUAAGAAGCACCGGCUAACUACGUGCCAGCAGCCGCGGUAAUACGUAGGGUGCGAGCGUUAAUCGGAAUUACUGGGCGUAAAGCGUGCGCAGGCGGUUUUGUAAGUCAGAUGUGAAAGCCCCGGGCUCAACCUGGGAACUGCGUUUGAAACUACAAGGCUAGAGUGUAGCAGAGGGGGGUAGAAUUCCACGUGUAGCAGUGAAAUGCGUAGAGAUGUGGAGGAAUACCAAUGGCGAAGGCAGCCCCCUGGGUUAACACUGACGCUCAUGCACGAAAGCGUGGGGAGCAAACAGGAUUAGAUACCCUGGUAGUCCACGCCCUAAACGAUGUCUACUAGUUGUUGGGAGAGUAAAAUCUCUUAGUAACGCAGCUAACGCGUGAAGUAGACCGCCUGGGGAGUACGGUCGCAAGAUUAAAACUCAAAGGAAUUGACGG
rnacentral:rRNA from 1 species